rnacentral:lncRNA from 1 species
GCUAAGUAUUUAAAGGGGGGUGCGCCGGGGGAUUGGAUUGAUUCAGAUUUCCAAUUCCUCCUUUCUUUCUAAUAUCCUCUCCCUAUUGUCUAAUUAGUCUCUUCCUUCUCUUAUUAGGAUAAGUCCAAAAUAGAAAGGACAAGUCCGAUUUUAGGACAAGAGUCUAGGAAGAGAAUUAAGGAAGACAAGGAGAGAAGAAAGGUAGGGAUAGGAAGGCUAGGAGAAGAGGAAGAGCGUCUUGAGGUCCUGGUGUUCAAGAAAAUUCUCAGAGUGAAAAUUUUGGAGGAGGAAUCAUCUCAAAGAGUUGGUGUCCUAAUCAUAGCCCUG